rnacentral:piRNA from 1 species
UUAUUAAACGCUUUUAAGUUA